CCACUGUAGAAUUCACCUAGUAGAAUAAUCUCUCCCAACUCCUCUCCAACGUCCCCAAACUGAUCUUGGAAUAGUGUGUUUGAGGAGGCGAAUAGGGGAGGUUAAUCAAGGCAAACUCCCUGGAGGAGGUGGGCUUGGAAUUGUGAUUUAAAGGAGAACAAAGUAUGAGAAGUGAAGCCGUAAAUUGAUUCCUCAAACUCUCCUGUCACUAACUGAAGACUGCAAAAUCACUGACCCAUGAGAUAGGAUGGCUAUAGAAUUGUUGACCACCUAAUUCUAUGAAACCAAAAGGAAAUUGAAGUCAAAUAAAAGGAAACGUCUUUAAACAGCAAGAGGCUUAUGUGUUUCAGUACCGUUCUGGCGUCUGGACAGCCCUGGAAAGCAGCACAUCUCAGCCAGACUCCGUCCGUCCGCUCCAGCGUGGGGGAAGAGAGUGAUGACAUAUUUUCCAUUCAGUAGGCUGAGGCCCAUCUUACUGGAAACUCUGGUCAGAAACGUGAACGAGUUCCUGGAAUCUUGCCUUUCAGGAUUCAGAUGGUUUUUUUUAUUGUUAUUAAAUUUGGAGGAAUAGGUGUGAAUAAAUCAUUAUUUUUCCCGGA